AUUGAACGCUGGCGGCAUGCUUUACACAUGCAAGUCGAGCGGUAACAGGGAGCUUGCUCCGCUGACGAGUGGCGAACGGGUGAGUAAUAUAUCGGAACGUACCCAAGAGUGGGGGAUAACGUAGCGAAAGUUACGCUAAUACCGCAUACGAUCUAAGGAUGAAAGCAGGGGACCUUCGGGCCUUGUGCUCCUGGAGCGGCCGAUAUCUGAUUAGCUAGUUGGUGAGGUAAAGGCUCACCAAGGCGACGAUCAGUAGCUGGUCUGAGAGGACGACCAGCCACACUGGAACUGAGACACGGUCCAGACUCCUACGGGAGGCAGCAGUGGGGAAUUUUGGACAAUGGGCGCAAGCCUGAUCCAGCAAUGCCGCGUGAGUGAAGAAGGCCUUCGGGUUGUAAAGCUCUUUUGUCAGGGAAGAAACGGGAUUGGCUAAUAUCCAGUCCUAAUGACGGUACCUGAAGAAUAAGCACCGGCUAACUACGUG
rnacentral:rRNA from 1 species